GACGAACGCUGGCGGCGUGCUUAACACAUGCAAGUCGAGCGGUAAGGCCCUUCGUGGUACACGAGCGGCGAACGGGUGAGUAACACGUGCGUAAUCUGCCCAUCACUUCGGGAUAACUCCGGGAAACCGGUGCUAAUACCGAAUAUGACCACUUCAGGCAUCUGAUGGUGGUGGAAAGUUCCGGCGGCGAUGGAUGAGCUCGCGGCCUAUCAGCUUGUUGGUGGGGUAGUGGACUACCAAGGCUUCGACGGGUAGCCGGCCUGAGAGGGUGACCGGCCACACAGGGAUUGGGACACGGCCCAGACGCCUACGGGAGGCAGCAGUGGGGAAUAGUUGACAAUGGGCGAAAGCUGGAUCCAGCAACGCCGCGUGAGGGAGGACGGCCUUCGGGGUGGAAACCUCUUUCAGCAGGAACGAAGCGCAAGUGACGGAACCUGCAGAAGAAGCACCGGCCAACUACGG
rnacentral:rRNA from 1 species